UCCUUCUCCACAGCCACAGGCAUCGUCGUUCUCGCUCCCUCCCAUCCCACUGGCCCGUUCCCUCCGCCGGUCGCCGUCACCCCGCGUCGUCACGCGACCCGGCCACCGCCGUCGCCAUCACCGCUGCCCCCCAGAAAGCCACCCAAUCCCUAGCCGCAAUGGAUUCUUCCACCGCAUCCUCCCAUGGCGCCGCCGCCCCCUGCUGCUGAUCCGGCCUCCGACAACCCCAGGCCCACCGCUCCCGUGCCCAUCACCGUGCCGAGCCCGCAGGGCCACCUGCACCCCCACCCCCACCACCACCUGGUCGACCGCCGAGACACUCCGCGGGGCCGCGCGUGGGAGCCGGAGAGGGCGCGGAGUCAUCCGGAGGCGAUGGACGGAGCCGCGGCGGCCAAGCUGGUGGAAGGCGAGGCCGGGUACGUCCUCGAGGACGUGCCUCACGUGUCCGACUACCUCCCCGAUCUCCCGACCUACCCAAAUCCAUUGCAAGAUAACCCAGCAUACUCAGUUGUGAAGCAGUACUUUGUAAACCCAGAUGACACCGUCUGCCAGAAGAUUGUUGUUCACAAGGAUGGCCCAAGAGGGAACCACUUCCGUCGUGCCGGACCUCGCCAAAGGGUCUACUUUGAAUCGGAUGAGGUCCAUGCAUGCAUUGUCACCUGCGGAGGAUUGUGCCCUGGACUUAAUACUGUGAUUAGGGAAAUUGUCUGUGGCUUAUCUGAUAUGUAUGGUGUCACCAAGAUAAUUGGAAUUCAGGGUGGGUAUAGAGGCUUCUAUGCUCGCAACACCAUCAACUUGACUCCAAAGAGUGUCAAUGACAUUCACAAAAGGGGUGGAACUGUUCUCGGAUCAUCAAGAGGAGGCCAUGACACCGUGAAGAUAGUUGACAGCAUUCAAGACCGUGGCAUAAAUCAGGUCUAUGUAAUUGGUGGUGAUGGUACUCAAAGGGGUGCAGGUGUCAUUUUUGAAGAAGUUAGAAGACGUGGUCUCAAAGUUGCUGUUGCUGGGAUUCCAAAGACUAUUGACAAUGACAUUCCAGUAAUGGACAAGUCAUUUGGUUUUGACACAGCAGUUGAGGAGGCUCAACGUGCAAUAAAUGCUGCUCAUGUGGAAGCUGUAAGUGCUGAGAAUGGUAUAGGUCUUGUUAAGCUAAUGGGCCGACACAGUGGUUUCAUCGCACAUUAUGCUACUCUGGCUAGUAGGGACGUGGAUUGCUGCUUGAUUCCAGAGUCACCUUUCUAUCUGGAAGGUGAAGGUGGGCUUUUCAGAUAUAUAGAAAAGCGUCUGAAGGACAAUGGUCAUAUGGUUAUUGUUGUUGCUGAGGGUGCCGGACAGAAACUUAUUGCUGAAACUAUGCAGUCGAUUGGGAAAGAUGCUUCAGGCAAUGAGCUGCUUCUCGACGUUGGUCUUUGGUUAUCUCAAAAGAUAAAUGAGCAUUUCAAGAAAAACAAGAUGACCAUAAAUCUGAAGUACAUAGAUCCGACAUACAUGAUACGUGCCAUCCCUAGCAAUGCAUCUGAUAACGUUUAUUGCACACUGCUGGCUCACAGUGUGGUCCAUGGAGCCAUGGCUGGAUAUACUGGUUUCACUGUUGGUCAAGUAAAUGGUCGACAUUGCUAUAUCCCCUUUUAUAGGAUCACGGAGAAGCAGAACAGAGUUUCGAUAACUGACAGGAUGUGGGCAAGGCUGCUCUCCUCUACCAACCAGCCAAGCUUCCUCUGCAACAAAGUUGUCGAAGAGGCAAAGAAGGAAUAUGAAAGAACAACCAAACUUUUAGAUGGCUCGCCUUCCCGUCGGAAGGUUGACGACAAGGUUGCAUCUUCCAACUCUGGUGGUACGAAGUGAGAUCAUCUGUCGCUGAUAUGUGCAGUCGAAUUCUUUCACAGUUGCAGUAGGUGACCUGGCGGGUAGCAAACUGCAAAUCCCACCAGGCGCACGAGAGAAGAUCAAUGAAGCUGACGACUGCAGUCUGCACACACACCCGGUCCGCGGGCGCGUGGCGCGUGGAAGAUCUGGCAGCCGCCAAGCGCGCGUCUUGCUCGGUUUUCACCCUCCGCAAUCACCUCAACUCACUCCUCAGAUCGGCCUCGAUCCCCAAAACGCGCGCGUCGCACGUCGCCGAAGCGGUUCUGACCAAGGAUGGCAACGGGGCUAUGUUUCAGAUAACUCACGAGGAAUUACUCUAUUAGAAGAUAAAGUAUAGAAAAAUUUGAU